CCUCAUGGAUGAGCAGAGCAGGUGGUUUCUUGAGAUGGAAUCUACUCCUGGGGAAGAUGCUGUGAGGA
rnacentral:pre_miRNA from 1 species